rnacentral:snoRNA from 1 species
UUGUAAAUAAAAACCUUAUCUUAGGUUUCCACUACAGAUGCAAGCACAAGAAGGUCCUUGUGCUUUCUUUUUGUCUGGUUGUGGCAGCCAAGACUGAAUGGGGGAAUAUAGGA